rnacentral:rRNA from 1 species
GAUGAACGCUGGCGGCGUGCCUAAUACAUGCAAGUCGAGCGAACGGACGAGAAGCUUGCUUCUCUGAUGUUAGCGGCGGACGGGUGAGUAACACGUGGAUAACCUACCUAUAAGACUGGGAUAACUUCGGGAAACCGUAGCUAAUACCGGAUAAUAUUUUGAACCGCAUGGUUCAAAAGUGAAAGACGGUCUUGCUGUCACUUAUAGAUGGAUCCGCGCUGCAUUAGCUAGUUGGUAAGGUAACGGCUUACCAAGGCAACGAUGCAUAGCCGACCUGAGAGGGUGAUCGGCCACACUGGAACUGAGACACGGUCCAGACUCCUACGGGAGGCAGCAGUAGGGAAUCUUCCGCAAUGGGCGAAAGCCUGACGGAGCAACGCCGCGUGAGUGAUGAAGGUCUUCGGAUCGUAAAACUCUGUUAUUAGGGAAGAACAUAUGUGUAAGUAACUGUGCACAUCGUGACGGUACCUAAUCAGAAAGCCACGGCUAACUACG